ACACCGGAAUGGGACAGCUUGGGCACACCGGGAUGGGACAGCUCGAGCCCCUGCACCGGGCUCGGUCACUCUGCGCUGGGGACGCGGGGCUCCGUUCUUCCAGCUGCCUUAACGCUCAGGCCAGACUGGCUGCAGCCCCUCUGCAGCAUUGUCCCAGUGUGCCUCUGCGUCUCAGGGACAGCGGCACUGGGAUGGGACUGGGCCUCAGGAGGGGACACAUCCUCCACUACCUUGGCCUGAGAAGUGGCUGAAUUGCAGUGGAAAACCCCUGGAAGCUGUGGGCUUAUUUAAGGUGCUCGUUUUAGCUUCACCAGUUAAAAAGUCUAAGGGUUCUGUGGAAGGAGAAAAGCAGUUCAACCUCAGAAGGCCGCUAACAGCAAAGGCAGCCUGGGCUGGACACAGAGCCCUGCCAGCACAGCACAGCACAGGGACUGAGCGGGCAAAGGACCCCUGAACACUGAUGCUGCUCUUAAAAAAGACAAAGCAGAACCUGGGCAGGAGAAGAGAAAUAAACCUAGAAAGGAAAGGAAACAUCCAAACAAGUCAAUUGAGGAGAAAUGCAGGAGAGGAGGGGAAGAAGGAUUUCACUGGUUUUGCCUCUGCAAUUUUUCUCCUCUUUUUAGGGCACAAAUGCUCUCCCUACACAAAUCUACAAGGAAGGAGCUUCUGCACCUUUUGUAGAGGUGUCUCUUCACCUCUGGACAGAGCUCAAGUUCUCUCGGGGUGAGUUAAGCAUUCGGCCCAUCUCCCAAGCCCCAUCUUCCAUGUCAGAAUGCAGUCGAGGCUGCUGGUUCCUCACGGCUCCAGCCCGUGCCCUCUGGGUGUCCCAGGCCAGGGCUGGGACCAGGCCACAAUGUCAGUCUGUGACACCGCUGAGAGCAUGGCUGUGUUGUCAUGGAGUUGUCAAGACUGAAGGCUCCAGGGUGAGCAGAAAGAGGCUCCUGGGCCAUUGACAGGUGUGGCUGGAGGGCCCAGGGGAGGCUGUUUGGGCUGAUUGGAGCCUGUUGGUGCCCUCAAGGCCCUGACACACCAGAGACACACAUUUGUACUGCCUGAAGGCUUGAGGGGGCUCCAGGGACAUCACUGCAUGGGAGGGAGGGAUCCAAGAGCAAACUGCUGAGAGAGCAUGGGGAGAGAUGGUGCUGAUGUGCAGUGGCUGCCUCACAGCCCUGCCAGUCUCAGCAGUAAAAGCCUGGUUUCCCUAAAAAUAGCCCUUCUGAAGCCACCAGGCAGAGGGACAUCACCCACAGCUGGGGAGACAAGAGGAAGGAACAAGCCUGAAGUCUCAAGACAGCUCAAGCUUCACUGUGCUGGGUUUCCUCAGCCUCAACCCCUCUGGAAAACAUCCCAUGUGCACAUUGCAUCUCUCCAGAUUUUAUUCUCAUUCCAAAUCUGCAAGUACAAAUAUAGUAACAUUCCAUUCUCCUAAUGCACACUCACAAGAUGUGCUGAAAUGUCAGAUGCUAAACGGUACAAAAAAGCACUUUAGCACGUUCCUGUUGAUGUGCCAUAGAAGAGAGAAGGCAGAAAUCACUUUAACAUCUGUUGAUUUAUUAGAUCUGAGUACUCCCCUCCUUUCAUCUGGCAGCAGCAGAGCCAUUAGCAGCGCAGCAGCUCCUUCAGAGCUUGCAGCAGAGCACAGGGAACGGUCCCGCACUGUGCGGCUGUGACCACGGCUCGGUGUCCCAGAGGCAGCUGCGGGAGCAGGGGGAUGGCAGGAAGGUGACCCCAGCAGGGAGGGGUGGGCCGGCAGGUAAUGCCCCUGCUGGGAGGAAGCCGGGGGGAGGCUGGAAAGCUUCCUAGCGCUGUAGCUAUUGUGUGCCUGCUUCCUCUGCUGCACAGGCCGGGAUGGAGCUCACACACACCCUGGCGCUGCGGGCUCUCCUGCCAGCACAGCCGGCUCCUGGAGCAUCGCUGAGUCAUUCCAGCGCGGGUGAUACAGGCUCCUUCCCUGUGGCUGGUAUUGUUUCUCAUGCUGCUAAAACCAGACAGUUGGCAAUAUUCCUUCUGCACAUUUGAAUUUACCCAGAAAACUCAGCUCAGCCAAAAAUGUUGAGAUAACAGGAUUUUUUCCUGCUUCUGGAUGGGAAACUGAAUAUUUUGACAUAUUAAGAGACUUCAAACAGAAAAAAAAAAUCAAGAUUUUGUUCUGAUAUAUUUGCAUUUUCACAGGGAGCAGAGGGCCAGGGAAUCACUCCAUUUAAAUUUCCCAGUCAGAUUGAAGAAUAAGGAUAUGACCUUGUAGAAGUGAACUGUGACACGAACAUUUUCUCAUAACAGAAGACACAGCCACUGCUUUACUGUGGAUCAAGCAGUGUGGCUGUGCUGUGAGAACAGUGUGGGUGCUGUUCUCACUGUCCAAAGGAGAAAAUGUGUGCUCAAAUGGGAGCAUCUCAUCCACCCCCAAAGCUCCAUGUGAAGGAAGCACAGGUGAGAGCUCCAUGUCCUUCCCCACCUCUGGUCCUGCCCCGCCCUUCCAAGAAGAGAGUUGGAGCUUUCUGUGAGUUAGGGACACAGCCUGCUCCUCUCAGGGAGAAUUUGGGAGAGGAAUUGUUAGCACAGCUGGCUGGUGGGCUGGCUUUUGUCAAACAUCCUCCAAACUGGCCAUUGCUCCCUUCCCUGCCAAGGCCACGGCCACAAAUCCUCUCUGAGCAUCGAUGCAGCUACAGCAGCUGUCAAAGCCCUGAGGCCAAAGAGUAGUGAAGACAAAUUUGCUUGGAAUCAAAUUAGAACUUCACUAUGGGAUAAGCAUCAGGUUCAGCUGAGCCACCUCAGGAGCAUCCUUUAAACAAGCAGUCCCCAGUUCUCCUUUUCUGCUGCCAGGAAACCUCCUGACUUCGGUGUAUUACUUUACCCAAAUACGCUCAUAUUUUCCUAAUAUUGAAAUUAUAAACUGCCAGAGAAGCAAAUAUAAGAACAAACUUAACUGCAGGAGAAAUAAAUGCUUAUUUUAUGUCUCUUUUGAUUUUGUUAGUAAUAUUUAUUUCCUUUUUCUAGAGUACCUUGCUAAGAUGGAAACAAAAAAAUCCUAGUUGCCAAAUUGCAUUACCUCAUUGCCAAAUAUGUAUUUAAUCUCUAUACAUUUGUUAUAUAAUCUUUCCUUUUUUUCAGUCACAGUUCCUAUGUAAAUGCAAAUUCUCCACAGUGUCCUAGUCAAAAUAUCUGCUGUAUUAGUAGGAAUUAAUCUAUUUGGUACUCAAUGAGCCAAUCUCAAGGGAUUUUUCUUCAGCAGAAACUCUGCCAUACCAUGAGCACUAACAAAUACUGCAAUUUGUGUCUCUACACUUGGUGUAUAAAAUUUAAACUUCUCACAGCUGCAUUUCUGGCUGGAAUCUCCAUGGAGAUGUCACUG